AUUGCCAAACGCUUUUGUUUGCUGCACGUGUUUUCCGUUCGGGAUUGUAAAAUUUCCACACAAUGUCCAAUAUAGGGAAGGGACUCGUAGCCCGACUCUCGCUAUUUAUAGAGCAUUUGGAAAGUGCAUACACCAUCAAUUAUAAAAUCUCUCUGGAACGCUUUUCACUCGCCUUUUGCACUGUACAUAUAUUAUUGGCGUUUUGUUCUCGCGGGUUGUUAUGGCUUGUUGUUGCUGCUGCUGCUGUGCCAGACAUUGAACUUGCUCGCACAGUGGGCCAAAAUGCGUUGAAAAUACGUGCGAUAUGGCGCACAUGUGCUGGCCAUGAUGCUAGAUAGGCCCGCCAAGUAGCUUCCUACCGGGGGAAGUUCCAAAUAUUUUCACAGACGGACUCUCGACGGUUGGACGGUUGCAACAUGUUGCCAUCGCCGUAACCCAAAAAGGCAGCCGGCCAAAAGCCGAGAGCAACACAUGUUGCUGCAGCAAAGUCGGCGACAACAAGUGGACGUGGAAAAUAUGCGACAGCAAUUAUCUCCGGCUAUAUCCAUAUAGCAUAUAUAGCACAUGUAGCAGCAUAUCCAUAUGCUGUCGCCGGGUCGGAUUUGCGCACGACUUUCGCUUGCCAUUCCAGGCCAUUGUUGCUGCUGCUGCUGUGCUGUGCUGUUUGUCUCAUGUUGCUGUUGUCAUCAGUUGCAGCUGCUGUCAAUCUGUUGGCCGCUCGCUUCCAAAAGGCAAAACAUCGAAAAUUUCCAUGUGUCAUUUCAAAAAUGCAAAUAUGGACAUGAUCUGGUGCCCUGGCUCUCCUCCGAUCCUGCACAGUCUUCCACAUGUCCGGCUCGUCAGGCGAUCAAGCCCCAACUGACAGCCAAGUGACGUCUAAAUUUUGUUCAACGAAAUGAUUAUAAAGGCAUUUAUGCAUGCGUAGUCACCAGCCAGAAUGGAGAAUGGAAAACAAUGAUCGUAGCCUAGCCACUAAGGAAUCUGAAUACCAAAGGCACUCGCAGAAAGAAUGGCUUCGAAUGCUGCAUGCACCACACAAAAGUCUGGAGUAAAGACAAAUCAAUCUAAUUAUGCUUAAGUAGUAAUGAAGUGUCUUAUCAGGGGUAUCGAAUAUUCCAGAUAUUCUGCGAGAACCAAGAAUUUUUCUAACUGUAUCCUACCAUAAGCACGAGAAUGUUGCUGCUGCUGCAAUUGAUUUGUUGCUGCCCAAUGUUGCGACGGACUGACUCUGUCAAUUGUCAAUGUUUGUAUUCAAAUUUGCAAACGUAGUUUCCAAGAUUUUUAUGGGCUGGCCAAAGGCGAUUUAUGAAGGCUUUGUUCGAUUCCUAGGGGAUCCCAUCGCUGGGAGCGCCAAGUUAAGAUGGCGCGGUUAUGGGUAUUAAAUAUAGGCAAAUAAAUAAAAACUAUCACAAGCGAUUAUGUACUAACUUAGAUUCUAACGCCCCAUAAAUGGCAAUUGCAAUUGCUGUUGACGGCGUUUAACGCUGCCCAUAAAAUGUGGCCGUCGUCUUGGAAUUGCAGUUGUUGUUGCUGUGGUGCCGCUGAUUGUUAUAACAAAUUUGCAUAAUUAUGCCGCUUAUCUCGGCCAUAUGUCUGGGUUCGGCUGGCUUGAAAACUGGUAGACUGGCAGACUGGCAGACUGCUGCUGGUUUCACGUCUGCAACACGCGCCGCAAAUCGACAGCAGCAACAUCGCAAAAGCGACUGCAACUGCAACUGCGACUCCCACAUGCAACAUUUGCUUUUGGCCAUUGUUGCGGGAAAUGCGGCAUGUUGCUGCCGUGUUAAUUGCAACUGCAACAACAUAAUAAAUAACCAACUGCCAGAGAGCGGCAGAAAAACAGUUAGUUGACAUUGACGCACUGCGAAUCAUAAAAACGGACAACAAAUUGAUUGCCAAUCAACAACAUGAACACGACAGCAGCACUGGCAACCUGCAACUCCGCAAUUGCAGGUGUCAAUGAAUGUUGCAAAUAAGGAAAAGCGCGACAAGCGUGGCGGAAAACGGGGAAAAUGGGGAAAGGAGAGCGAAAACGGGCAGAAAAAAGUUAAUUGACCACUGCCAAUUGCUGCUAAUGUGGCCAGUUAUUAUGUCAAACGGUCAGCAGCUUCAGCUCUUGCAUUUGGCCAGCGGCUUUAAUUGAAUUCAAUACCAACAACCGGACAAUUGUCACGCAGUUGAUGCUGCGCCAGCAAGACCCAAGCUGCAACUGCAACUGUGGCAGACCAACUGCUGCGAUACAGUUCGCCAACUGGCCACUUGCAACUGGCAACCCACACGAAUCCGCUAUCCGCAGUCCGAAAUCCGCAAGCGAAUGAAAGAUGUCCACGAGGCGCACAUGGAAAAAUUCCAAUAGCAAUUAAAAAUAUAUUUCCAACGCAAAUGCAGACAACGUACAGCUGUUGCAAAUGCACUGCGCGAAAUAUUCGUAAUAUAAUCAUAGAGCAGAGAAAUUACUUGAGUAUUGAAGUCACCGAAAGUCCACGGAUUCAGUAACUUUUAUUGCAUACUCUCAGAGCUAUAACCCCUAUAAAUAACCAUAUAAAUAUAUAUUACCCUAUUUACUUCCCCGCCUAAAUACCCAAUCCAUCACCCAGUUUUCCCGAGUGCACCUGGACACAUUUCACCUUGCCCGGCCGCCGUCCCGAUGACGUUGUCGUCUCGAAUCGAUCCAGUUCGCGUCCAGCGUCCAGAGGCUACUUACUCCUCCUGGCCUCGGUGGCCGGCAGCAUCUGUUUGUUUGUGGAGUGGUGCGGAGUGGUGUGGCGUUCGUCUUUGCCAGCUGCGUUGGCCGUUAGAAAUGCUAAUGAAAGUCAGGCAGCAAGUCCGUCCAUCGGCAUUGGCAGCUGCUUGGCUGCAGUGGCUCAUACUCAACUUCCCAGCUUCCCUACUUCCCACCAGCCGGCAGCCUCCCAACCUCACGAACUCGCCGCUUCCCUCGUUUGCGGUGCGUUUUGCGAUUUGAUUGCAUGGGCAUAGAAAGUUGCACGGCUACCGUUUUUGGUGGCCAGCCUGGAGCAGCUGCCUAGGGGAUUUGCUCUGCCAUUGGCAGUAUAUCGAUAGCGCAGUCUGGGAAUGCUCUGCAUCCAUCCAACAUAUGCGAUACAUUUCCACACACGUUUUCCUUGGCGAUUGCUGUUUGCUGUUUGCUGCUGGCCUCUUGCCGGCGAGCGCGCGGAAAUUCUGCACACGUGUCGAUCGUUCAAGUUUUUAUGCGCAGCUUGCGCAUAUGUAGCUUCCUGCUGCGGGGCAAGGACGUUUCGGUUCGGCCUGCCUUUGUUUCUGCCUGCCUUUCACCCUCCCUGCCUCGCCGCCCAACCCCCUCGGCAAGGCCCUUCCAUCGCAGCCACAUCCUCCACCUCAUCCUCCCAGCUGUCCACGUCACAUGUGUGCGCUUUCCUCGCCCCGAUGCCCUACUCCCGAUCCGCGAUCACACAUGCAGCCGGCACUCUGGCAUCAGAAAUGCCAGCUUGGCUACUUCCACGGCACAUAUGCCGGAUUCUGCCGGAUUCUGAGGGUCGUGGAGCGGGAAUACUGUACUCUAGCUAAAAAGGAUGAUCAUUUCAUCCUGGAAAUUCUUUCAUUUAACAAUUGUGCUAAUGAUUUUUGAUAACCAAAUUCCGACCUAUUUAGAGAGCUUCAUUAGUUUUUUUAUACAAAGUACUAUUCAUUUCGUGUCUCGUGUGAUGUUUCAUAAAUAUGAUUUAU